AGAGGGGGCCAGCGUUAUUCGGAAUUAUUGGGCGUAAAGGGCGCGUAGGCGGCCAUGCGUGUCUUCCGUGAAAUCCCUCGGCUUAACUGAGGACGUGCGGAAGAAACUGCAAGGCUCGAGUCCGGGAGAGGGGGGUGGAAUUCCCAGUGUAGCGGUGAAAUGCGUAGAUAUUGGGAGGAACACCGGUGGCGAAGGCGGCCCCCUGGACCGGUACUGACGCUGAGGCGCGAAAGCGUGGGUAGCAAACGGGAUUAGAUACCCCGGUAGUCCACGCCGUAAACGAUGGGCACUUGGUGUCGCGGGUAUCGACCCCUGCGGUGCCGAAGCUAACGCAUUAAGUGCCCCGCCUGGGGAGUACGGUCGCAAGGCUG
rnacentral:rRNA from 1 species